AGUGAACGCUGGCGGUAGGCCUAACACAUGCAAGUCGAACGGCAGCACAGUAAGAGCUUGCUCUUACGGGUGGCGAGUGGCGGACGGGUGAGGAAUACAUCGGAAUCUACUUUUUCGUGGGGGAUAACGUAGGGAAACUUACGCUAAUACCGCAUACGACCUACGGGUGAAAGCAGGGGAUCUUCGGACCUUGCGCGAUUGAAUGAGCCGAUGUCGGAUUAGCUAGUUGGCGGGGUAAAGGCCCACCAAGGCGACGAUCCGUAGCUGGUCUGAGAGGAUGAUAAGCCACACUGGAACUGAGACACGGUCCAGACGCCUACGGGAGGCAGCAGUGGGGAAUAUUGGACAAAGGGCGCAAGCCUGAUCCAGCCAUACCGCGUGGGUGAAGAAGGCCUUCGGGUUGUAAAGCCCUUUUGUUGGGAAAGAAAAGCAGCAGGUUAAUACCCCGCUGUUCUGACGGUACCCAAAGAAUAAGCACCGGCUAACUUCGUG
rnacentral:rRNA from 1 species